rnacentral:lncRNA from 1 species
AGGGCGAAAAGAACCUACAGAGGAACACUAGCACAAGGAAACGCACAGAGAAAAGCAAAAAGCUUUAUGAGUUAGGCAUAUGGUUUUAAUUUUAUUUUUUACUAUAAAAUUUUUUUAUCCCUCACUACCACCAUUCUUGUGUUGCUGCCUGUGGGAAGAGAACAAGUCUGAGAGGUGAUGGAGUUUGAGAGACUACCACAGGGAUGAGUAACAGGACCCAGCCAGGGAAAAGACAUUGCAACUUUGAAGUGAAAAAGACUGAAGCACACUCAGCCCUCCAAGGGGAAGUGGAUUAUUUUUCUUGCAAGUGCAUUAGCAAGGGAGGUAUUAAGGACAGCAACAUUCCUUCCUGUAUAAAAAAAUAAAUAAAUAAAAGAAGAAAGAUUAUUGAGGCCCUCUCUGCUGUAUGUAAUGUACUUCAGGAUGUUGGUAGAAAGAUAUCAACCUAGAAUAAGUUCACAGAAUACAUUUGGUUUCACAGAAAGUUUAAAGUCAAUCUGGACAUUCAGUGAUCUCUUUCUGUAUAUUUGAUCUACCCAUCUGCUGGGCUUUUGAAGUUUUC